GGCUGAGGCUGCUGCUAGAGGUCAUGUUGAUCUACUGUUGCUGUGAGAUUGAGAAGUUCAGGGUGCUUCAUAAACCUGUCCCCCAUGGCUGAGGCUGCUGCUGGAGGUCAUGUUGAUCUACUGUUGCUGUGAGAUUGAGAAGUUCAGGGUGCUUCAUAAACCUGUCCCCCAUGGCUGAGGCUGCUGCUAGAGCCCAGAUUGCUUCAUAAACCUGUCCCCCAUGGCUGAGGCUGCUGCUGGAGGUCAUGUUGAUCUACUGUUGCUGUGAGAUUGAGAAGUUCAGGGUGCUUCAUAAACCUGUCCCCCAUGGCUGAGGCUGUUGCUGGAGGUCAUGUUGAUCUACUGUUGCUGUGAGAUUGAGAAGUUCAGCGUGCUUCAUAAACCUGUCCCCCAUGGCUGAGGCUGCUGCUAGAGCCCAGAUUGCUUCAUA